GGAGGAAUGGCCGAGUGGCUGAAGGCGGCGGUCUUGAAAACCGUUAGCGGGGUAACUCGCUCGGGGGUUCGAAUCCCCCUUCCUCCGCCA
rnacentral:tRNA from 1 species